rnacentral:lncRNA from 1 species
AGAGAAGAUCUAACUUGCCACCAGCUUGCUGGAUGACCACAGAAAAAUCACUUCUUCCUUUGGACCUCAGUUUCCUCCUCUGUGGAGGUCUGGAGCUCUACGAGAUUCAUCACCCAUGUCCUGGGCCUGAGGAGAGGGGACCAGUGAGCAUAUUAAGAGCUGCAUUGGUCAGCUGACUCCACUCUGUGACUGCAUCGCUCAGGGGACUUUUCCAUCUAUUUGUUCCUGCCCCUGGCAAGGCAGCAGGUGGCCAUUUGGAAGAAUGGCACAGGCCAUGGUUUUAAUCUCCUCUGCUCUUCUUCAGCGUUUUGUUUUUCUGAACCCACAUCUUCCUCCUACCCUGACUUUCUUGCUUCUCUCUAAGCCACUUCUGUCUUUCGCCCCCUGCCCUUGUUUUUCCCUUGUCACCUCCUGUAGAUU